rnacentral:rRNA from 1 species
AUUGAACGCUGGCGGCAUGCCUUACACAUGCAAGUCGAACGGCAGCACGGACUUCGGUCUGGUGGCGAGUGGCGAACGGGUGAGUAAUAUAUCGGAACAUACCUUGCAGUGGGGGAUAACUAUCCGAAAGGAUAGCUAAUACCGCAUACGCUCUAAGGAGGAAAGCGGGGGAUCGUAAGACCUCGUGCUAUAAGAGUGGCCGAUAUCUGAUUAGCUAGUUGGUGAGGUAAAGGCUCACCAAGGCGACGAUCAGUAGCUGGUCUGAGAGGACGACCAGCCACACUGGAACUGGGACACGGUCCAGACUCCUACGGGAGGCAGCAGUGGGGAAUUUUGGACAAUGGGGGCAACCCUGAUCCAGCAAUGCCGCGUGAGUGAAGAAGGCCUUCGGGUUGUAAAGCUCUUUUGUCAGGGAAGAAACGGUUGUGGCUAAUAUCCAUGGCUAAUGACGGUACCUGAAGAAUAAGCACCGGCUAACUACGUGCCAGCCGCCGCUGUAACAC